GGAAUUUGUUACAUGACAGUUACAGUGCGUGCGAGAGAAAGAGAGCAAAACAUGUUUAGAUUUUUCACAAUGUGAACAAAUAGUUCGUUCAUUUGCGUUAUCUCCCAUGUUCGAAGCAACUUUAAAUUCAUAGAAGUAAUGACGCAUGGACAUUUGCAUACUGUGUGGAAGUUUCUGUACGCUAGGCUUUACGCCAGCUCGGUCCUUAAGUGGUCAAUCUUCUGCCAGUGACCAAGAUGAUUCUACACACAAAGUUUCGGCGGUGAUGGCAGUUUUUUUUAACCAGCGGUAAAUGAGCCGAAUGAGUAGUUUGCCUAUUAUUGAAAGUGCCUUUAAGUUCCCAAAAUGUGGCUGUUUUGGUUUCCUGCCUUAUAGGCUUUAUGAUAGAAUUGCCACUACGGGAAGCUACCGGAAGAUGAAGGAAAAAACCCCCACGAGUCGCUGGGUUAGUUCGGAAGCGGCUAGUAACUGGAUUACUCGUUUGAUUAGAACUUGAUGAUGAGAUGAUGAAAUAAUAUUAAAAACAAUGAUUUAAGUCGAUGAAAUAAAAAGGAAAAAAAAUAAUUACGAUUUAUUUGGAUUAAAAAAGGAAAGGUGCAUAGAAUGGGUGCAAAGUU